rnacentral:rRNA from 1 species
CUGCUAUCGGAUUGAUACUAAGCCAUGCGAGUCUUUGUAGUAAUACAAGGCAGACGGCUCAGUAACACGUAGUCAACCUACCCUAUGGACAAGAAUAAUCUCGGGAAACUGGGCAUAAUUCUUGAUAGAUCAUAAUGCCUGGAAUGGUUUAUGGUUAAGAUGAUUCGUCGCCAUAGGAUGGGACUGCGGCCUAUCAGCUUGUUGGUGAGGUAAUGGCCCACCAAGGCGAUUACAGGUACGGGCUCUGAGAGGAGAAGCCCGGAGAUGGGUACUGAGACACGGACCCAGGCCCUAUGGGGCGCAGCAGGCGAGAAAACUUUGCAAUGUGCGAAAGCACGACAAGGUUAAUCCGAGUGGUUUCUGCUAAAGGAACCUUUUGACGGUCCUAAAAACACUGUUGAAUAAGGGGUGGGCAAGUUCUGGUGUCAGCCGCCGCGGUAAAACCAGCACCUCAAGUGGUCAGGAUGAUUAUUGGGCCUAAAGCAUCCGUAGCCUGCUCUGUAAGUUUUCGGUUAAAUCUGUAUGCUCAACAUACAGGCCGCCGGAAAUACUGCAGGGCUAGGGGGUGGGAGAGGUAGACGGUACUCGGGAGGAAGUGGUAAAAUGCUUUGAUCUUUCGAUGACCACCUGUGGCGAAGGCGGUCUACCAGAACACGUCCGACGGUGAGGGAUGAAAGCUGGGGGAGCAAACCGGAUUAGAUACCCGGGUAGUCCCAGCCGUAAACUAUGCAAACUCAGUGAUGCAUUGGCUUGUGGCCAAUGCAGUGUUGCAGGGAAGCCGUUAAGUUUGCCGCCUGGGAAGUACGUACGCAAGUAUGAAACUCAAAGGAAUUGGCGGGGGAGCACCACAAGGGGUGAAGCCUGCGGUUCAAU